ACAAAGGCUCUUUUAAGAGCCACCAGGGAAGUGAAAAAAAAAAAG
rfam:Lepisosteus oculatus linkage group LG8, whole genome shotgun sequence.